CGCGGCUGCGCAUGGGCAGAGCGUUCCGGGCGGCGGGCGUGAGGCUGAGGCGGGGAGGCCCCGCCCGGGCCUCUGCGGGCGUGUCCCCGGCGUCACCUCACUCUGUCCUGGUGGCGCAGAGUAACGCGGUGCAGGCGGGCUCCCUGGAGUUCGUACCUUUCUUUAAUUGAGGUUCAAGGUCUUGGGAGCAGUUAGUCCGUUCGAGAAAUUCUCUGCUGCUGCAACACACAGCGCCUGGGCUCUGCGGCAGGAACGCGGUCACUGCGCGGGACGAUCCGGGCGCCUCGAUCCUGGAGUUCUUUCCCCGGAGCUGUGGGAUGUGCAGGCAGAGGAAGGAGAAGUCACCGUUUUGGCAGAGAAACAACAACUUCAGAGUCAGCCUCCUGGAUCCUGUUUCUGUGCAUGGGGAUGCUGGGGGGGGUGUAGUGGAGAAGGGUGGAUAAAAAUAAUUAAAAUUAAUUGGCUUAGUGCCACUGCAGAGGACAGGCAGCCUAGAACAGACAGUCUGUGACAAGGUGGAUAGAAAUAUUUACACUUUUCAUACAGUAGCGUGUGCCUUUGCUAGAAAAAAGCCAUAGUUACUGUGAGUUUGGGUUAGGCACCACUUUUCUGAUUUAUGCUCUAAUAAACAUAGGUUAUUUGUGGUAACAGCACAGAAAGUGAGGAAUGCUGUAUUCAAUUGGAACUGAAAGGAAAUCAAGGCAAACCUUAUCUCAUUAAUCAAAUUCCAGCCAAGAACAGCAUCAGGGCCAUCAUCUCUAAUCUCAGAAAAAUGUUUCUUAAUGACCACAAGCAAUCAGUAUGUUUCUAGUUGAUCAGACUGGAAGGGCUGCGGUCCGGCCCCUUAGCCUCCCCGCAAGGAUGGCUCUGGCAGCCCCACCACCUGGGAUCCUCUGAUCGAGCACUAAUCACAUCCAGCAUUCCUUAUCCUGGGAAAUGACCAAACCAAAGCAACAAUAGAAUAUUGCCAGAGGAUUUUUCUGUUCCGUUCAUUUUCACUGAUGUUUUACCUCCUUGAGGAAAGUUUUUAACAUGAGAGCCUUCCACAUGAGAGUUUUCCACAUGAAGAUUUUUUUUUCUCCAAUAGCUAGGUGGGCUAGGAUGCCUUUUUGGUCUAUUUGUUUUUAAUGUGGUUUGGGAUUAGGGCUCUCCUUUCUAAGUAUGAAAGCCAUGUUCGGCUCCACAGGUGCUGACCCCCCCGCCCCAGCUGAUCGCGUGCCACCCUGCUCCGGCUGGCCACGGCCCCUCCCCCGCUCCGGCUGGCCACGCCCCCCCUCCUCCGGCUGGCCACGCCUCCACUGCACACUGUGGCGGGGGCGGGAGGGGGGAUCACAAGGGUCUAUGGGGCGGUGUGGGGGUCAGGGCGGCUGUGGGGUCAAUGGGGUUGUUGUGGGGUGAAACACCCCUGAAGAGGCUGAACCCCCUACAGGUGAGUGACCCACACAGUGCCCCACAGCAGCCCAUAGCCCCUCUGCCCUAUAGAGUCACUGCACCCCAUAGCUGCUUUUACUCUGCACCAUAAAUGGACAGCAGUGCUCCACAGCACCCUAAGUCUCCACUGUGCCCCAUAGACACACAGUGCUGUCCCACAGCACCCCAUAUCUUGUUCACUCUGCCCUAUAGACCCACAGUGUAACCCUACAGCACCCCAUAGUUCCUCUGCCCUAUAGAUCAACAGCACUGUCCCAGAAAACACCAUAGCUUCUUCCCACUAGCCCAUAGGCCAGCAAUUCUGCCCUACAGCGCACUAGCUCCUGCACCCUAUCCCAUAGACCCACAGCAGUGCCCCACAGAUCCAGUCUGCCCUAUACAGCCACAGCACUGCUCUGCAGCACCAUAUACUUCCAGCACUCUGCCCCACUGAUAUGUAGCACCCCACAGCUGCUGCAUUCUGCCCAUAGAUCGACGUUCCUGGGUCCCCUCACCCCACCAGCUGUCCUGGGCUGCGAUGCUGCACGGGGCCCUGUGCACAACAAAAUGAGGACAGCAUGGCUGCUGGGCGCCACCCUGCUUGGAAUCCAAGAUGGCUGGGGGGGGAGGGCUGGCAGCCAUGCUGGCACUGCCGGAGGGGCUGUUGGUCUGCGCCGUGCUCAGGCGGCAGCUCCCGGCUGUAUCGGCUGCCCCUGUGGCCCUGCACCCUGCCCAUGGGAACAAGGUGGCUGCCCUGAUGGGCGUGGCCAUCUGGGCUGCUGUGUCCCUGCUGGUGGGUGGGGCCAUGGCUGUCAUGGCUGCCAAGCCUGUGCUGGAAGGGUGGGGCUGAGGUGGGCGGGGCCUGCCUAGGGUGGCCAUUUUGGGGUCGGGCCCAAGGUGGGUGGUGGGGCCUGUGGCUCUGUUUACCCCUGACGGCCAUCUUGGAAAAGGGCAGCGCCGUGCCGCUGCCAUCCUGACGUUGCUCCCCCAGGGCCAUGUUGGGGGAUUUUUAACCUGGUUUUGGGGCCAAUUCUCACCCAAUAAAAUUAAAUAAUGUAAAAAAACCUUAA